UACAGAGGUCUCAAGCGUUGUUCGGAUUCAUUGGGCGUAAAGGGUGUGUAGGUGGCGCCGUAAGUCGGGUGUGAAAUUUCGGAGCUUAACUCCGAAACUGCAUUCGAUACUGCGGUGCUUGAGGACUGGAGAGGAGACUGGAAUUCAUGGUGUAGCAGUGAAAUGCGUAGAGAUCAUGAGGAAGACCAGUGGCGAAGGCGGGUCUCUGGACAGUACCUGACACUGAGACACGAAGGCCAGGGGAGCAAACGGG
rnacentral:rRNA from 1 species